UAGAGCAGAGGCGUGAGCAGCAUGUGCAAAUAUUUUCUCAUAUACAAAAUUGUACGACAUAAGUUGUUGUAAAAAAGUCUUGAAGGGAAUUCAUAUUUCUGGUUAGCAAAUAGGAGGCACAGGUGUAACCAAGCCCACAGACAAGCACCAAAACGAGCCUACUAAAGACUACUGGAGUGAAUCAUGGCAGUGUGGCGGUGUAUGAUCUGUUUCGUUUUUGUUGCGUUAAGUAUAAAAUCGCUCCUCAGCCACAUAAAUGUCACGCAUAGCCGUAGUCAAGAUUUUUGGGUUCUGUGUGGAAUUGAUGGUUGUGAACAAGAUUUUAGAGUUUACAACUCAUUUUAUCGCCAUCUUAAACGAACACACCCUUUGUAUUUGGCGACCGGAUGCCCACCAAUGGCAUGGGGGACAACACCUACUUCAGCUGCACUUGGGUCAGAGAACUUUGGUGCAUCUAUUUUUUCUGAAGCCGCUACUCCUGCAAGAACGUACUUUGUGGAGGAACAGUCACACGGCAGUCAAAUUGAAACUUGUAUGGAAACUCCUCCUGAUUCCCAUUCUUGUAUUCAGGAAAAUAAUGGAGCUGGAACAUCUGUAACCGAACCGGAUAUUGGCAAGUCUGCGGCAGCUUUUGCAAUCAGUGUCCGGGAAGAAUGCCAUCUGUCACAGAGGACCGUCAACAGAGUCAUUGGAGGGGUGCAACAGUACCAAGCAACUCUCUUGGAUACAUUAAGGAUAAGAAUGAGAAG